UACGUAGGGUGCAAGCGUUAAUCGGAAUUACUGGGCGUAAAGCGUGCGCAGGCGGUUAUGUAAGACAGAUGUGAAAUCCCCGGGCUCAACCCGGGAACUGCGUCCGAUACUGGCAGGCUUGAAUCCGGGAGAGGGAUGUGGAAUUCCAGGUGUAGCGGUGAAAUGCGUAGAUAUCUGGAGGAACACCGGUGGCGAAGGCGGCGUUCUGGACUGCAACUGACACUGUAAAACGAAAGCCAGGGGAGCAAACGGG
rnacentral:rRNA from 1 species